GAUGGCUUUGGGGGAACGAGAAGAGACUGGAGUGAAUGCGAGGGACUCUAAUCUGGGCGGCGAUCGGGAGAUUUUUUCGAGAGAGAAUCGGAAAUCGAGGAAGGAAACUAGGGCUUUGGUUGGUAGAAGUACAGGGAAUCUGGAGAAUGGAGGUUUGUAUCUGAAAAUGGGACUUCCAAAAUCUAUUGGAACGACGACGACAAAGAAGAAGAAGAAGAAGAAUGA
rnacentral:misc_RNA from 1 species